CCCGGCCUCAUCCCCAGCCUUUGGGCCUCCUGACAGCGCCCAGCCUCCCUACUCUGCCUCCAUGGAGCCCCGAAUGCGGAGGUCUGUGACUGAGCAGGACUGGGGCUGGGCUGGACUCCAGAGGUCUGUUCUGAAGGGGAGAGUGGUGAAGAUAAGCCCUGUGACCCCAGAGCACCUCCAGUAAGUCAGUCCUCGGGAAGUUAGCUGUCUGCGAUCUCAGGGGAGGGACCCUGGCGGGGAAGGGUGCCCGCAGGCAGGAGCCGCAGCUGGAUCCCUGGCGUGCUGAGGGACCCCGAGAAUGUGGUGUCUCUGGACCCCUCCCCUCUCCCUGAAACGAGGGGGCGGGAGGAGCUGAUCUCUGAGGUCCCUUCCAGCUCCAGCACCUUCUGUUCUAGGAAAUCCACGUGAACGUUGCUAUAGAGACGGCAUAGAGGAGCCGCAGCAGCUCGGAAUUGGACCUCCACCCAGAAGAGAGAGGAAAGAGUCACCCCAGGAAACAGCUGACGUCAGGGGUGUGUUCGCCCCUCCCCCACGCCAGGUGCCUAGGGGCCACGCUGAGUGUCCUGCUCCCUCCAGGACACACCCCACACCCCACCUGCCGUGGGCUCACCUUUGUGGCCCUGAGGCCCUCCUGGGCAAGUGGUAAGGGGUGGGCGUCCGCCCCGCCUCCGUGGGACAGGAACUGUUGGGUUGGGGCUGGGCAGGGGGCUGUUCCCUUGGCGUGUGCCCGCAGGAUCUGCCCUCGGGCUUUCCUUCCCACUGCAGCUCGGGGACUCACACCUGAGUGCUCUGGGUGGUGUCAGGAUGCAAAACAUGCGUGCCCUGGAGCCCAGUGCGGGGCGGAGGCGGGCAGGGAGCUGAUCAGAUCCAGACUCUGCAGCAAGGCACGAGGUGGGCGUGCGAGACCUCGGGCAGGAGGAGCGCAGAGCAGCCCAGGAGCUCCUGACUGCCCUCUGGGGGCAAGGGCUCUGCUUGCAUCCGCUGUUCUUGUUUUCUUGAUUAGGAAAGGGCCGCGUGAUUUGGGGCAGGGGAGCCUGUCAGCAACACAAAAGGAUGGGGUUCCCUGCCUCUGGAGUUUCUCACCUGCCCCAGUCCCAGGUCUCUUCCGGCCUCAUCCCAUCAACCCCACCUUGCUUUAGACCUCAUACCAGUGCUUCCAAACUGGGUUCCCAAGUACUCUGUGAGUCUGCACAAAAACUUUCCUGAAGCCCAGGAGGGCUCUACAGUCCCUCCCCAUUCCCCCUUGUGUCUAACUUAAGUCCCUCUCCCUCCUCAGUAGGGAAUUGGUCCAAGAGGCCCAGAGUUGGAGACAAAGGGCGCUGUGGGAGUUGAGCCCUGAGAAAGGACCACAGCGGCCAGAGCUGGACUUCACACCCCGCCACCCCGGGGCCACCGGGAGAUGCUCUGUUUGUUCCUGGGCCCUUUGACUGCCAGGAAAUGGCAGGCGACCGAUUCCCUGUUGAUCCUUGGCCUUUGCC
rnacentral:lncRNA from 1 species